UCUUAAGUAAACUAUUUAUAUGGGUCC
rnacentral:piRNA from 1 species